AGUGAACGCUGGCGGUAGGCCUAACACAUGCAAGUCGAACGGCAGCACAGUAAGAGCUUGCUCUUACGGGUGGCGAGUGGCGGACGGGUGAGGAAUACAUCGGAAUCUACUUUUUCGUGGGGGAUAGCGUAGGGGAACUUACGCUAAUACCGCAUACGACCUACGGGUGAAAGCAGGGGAUCUUCGGACCUUGCGCGAUUGAAUGAGCCGAUGUCGGAUUAGCUAGUUGGCGGGGUAAAGGCCCACCAAGGCGACGAUCCGUAGCUGGUCUGAGAGGAUGAUCAGCCACACUGGAACUGAGACACGGUCCAGACUCCUACGGGAGGCAGCAGUGGGGAAUAUUGGACAAUGGGCGCAAGCCUGAUCCAGCCAUACCGCGUGGGUGAAGAAGGCCUUCGGGUUGUAAAGCCCUUUUGUUGGGAAAGAAAAGCAGCAGGUUAAUACCCCGCUGUUCUGACGGUACCCAAAGAAUAAGCACCGGCUAACUUCGUG
rnacentral:rRNA from 1 species